CUAGAACUUGAACUUGGCGAGCGCGUGCGCACCCGUGGGAAAAUUCUCAAGGCAAUAUUACGCGUGGCGCUAAAACCACCUGAGAUAAAGGAAAGCAAGAGUUCGGGCACACCAGCACUAUUGAGUGCCUUUUGGACCAUCUCUGGAAGUUCCAUUAGCUGGAAAUAGAAUAUCGCCCAGGUGCACUGCAAGCCCCCUCCUGUCCAGGGGAGUGUGAGAGCAUUAUUCGCCCACGAUGAGAAAGUUUUUCCCGCUCACGGUAUAUUGCAUCAGCCUGCUCUUCUCACAGUUGCUGGCUCUACCUGCUAGAAGCCCGCUUGGGAAGAAGAACAGGCUGGACUUCAUGACCAGACUCCAUCAGCUGAGAGAAGGAAUUACCAUCUCUUCAGAUGUUUCAGAGCAAUCAAACACUAACCAUGGCGUAAACCAUCGACCGCACCAUUUUGUGGAGGGCAAUCCUAUCCAAAUCACCACCU